CGGAUUGUAGUCUGCAACCCGACUACAUGAAGCUGGAAUCGCUAGUAAUCGCGGAUCAGAAUGCCGCGGUGAAUACGUUCCCGGGUCUUGUACACACCGCCCGUCACACCAUGGGAGUCGGAAAUGCCCGAAGCCGGUGACUCAACCUUUAAGGAGAGAGCCGUCGAAGGCAGGUCUGAUAACUGGGGUGAAGUCGUAACAAGGUAAC
rnacentral:rRNA from 1 species